rnacentral:rRNA from 1 species
AUUGAACGCUGGCGGCAGGCUUAACACAUGCAAGUCGAGCGGGGGAAGGUAGCUUGCUACCGGACCUAGCGGCGGACGGGUGAGUAAUGCUUAGGAAUCUGCCUGUUAGUGGGGGACAACAUCUCGAAAGGGAUGCUAAUACCGCAUACGUCCUACGGGAGAAAGCAGGGGAUCUUCGGACCUUGCGCUAAUAGAUGAGCCUAAGUCGGAUUAGCUAGUUGGUGGGGUAAAGGCCUACCAAGGCGACGAUCUGUAGCGGGUCUGAGAGGAUGAUCCGCCACACUGGGACUGAGACACGGCCCAGACUCCUACGGGAGGCAGCAGUGGGGAAUAUUGGACAAUGGGGGGAACCCUGAUCCAGCCAUGCCGCGUGUGUGAAGAAGGCCUUAUGGUUGUAAAGCACUUUAAGCGAAGAGGAGGCUACUCUAGUUAAUACCUAGGGAUAGUGGACGUUACUUGCAGAAUAAGCACCGGCUAACUCUGUGCCAGCAGCCGCCGUAA